rnacentral:rRNA from 1 species
AUACGGAGGGUGCGAGCGUUGUUCGGAAUUACUGGGCGUAAAGAGCUUGUAGGCGGCUCGUUAAGUCUGAUGUGAAAGCCCUCGGCUCAACCGGGGAAGUGCAUUGGAUACUGGCGGGCUUGAGUAUGGGAGAGGAGAGCGGAAUUCCCGGUGUAGAGGUGAAAUUCGUAGAUAUCGGGAGGAACACCAGUGGCGAAGGCGGCUCUCUGGACCAAUACUGACGCUGAGAAGCGAAAGCGUGGGGAGCAAACAGGAUUAGAUACCCCAGUAGUCC